rnacentral:rRNA from 1 species
GGGGGGUGCGAGCGUUGUCCGGAAUCACUGGGCGUAAAGAGUGCGUAGGUGGUGAGGUAAGACCUGUGGGAAAGACCUGGGCUUAACCCAGGAAGGUCGCAGGUGACUGCCUCGCUUGAGGACGGGAGAGGAGAGCGGAAUUCCCGGUGUAGCGGUGAAAUGCGUAGAGAUCGGGAAGAAGGCCGGUGGCGAAGGCGGCUCUCUGGAACGUUCCUGACACUGAGGCACGAAAGCGUGGGGAGCAAACAGGAUUAGAUACCCUGGUAGUCCACGCCCUAAACGAUGGGAACUAAGUGUCGGCGGGUUACCGCCGGUGCCGCACCUAACGGAGUAAGUUCCCCGCCUGGGGAGUACGGCCGCAAGGUUG